rnacentral:misc_RNA from 1 species
GUAGGUGAACCUGCGGAAGGAUCAUUACAGAGAACUUGCCCCCUGGGGUAGAUCUCCCACCCUUUGUUUACACUACCUUUGUUGCUUUGGCAGGCCCGUUGCAAGACCACCGGCUUAGGCUGGUCAGUGCCUGUCAGAGGACCCCCCAACCUUAAUUUUAUGUCGUCUGAAUACUACAAAAAUAGUUAAUACUUUCAACAACGGAUCUCUUGGUUCUGGCAUCGAUGAAGAACGCAGCAUCUGACUGACU